rnacentral:rRNA from 1 species
UACGUAGGGGGCGAGCGUUUGUCCGGAUUUAUUGGGCGUAAAGGGCGCGUAGGCGGCCUGUUAAGUCGAACGUGAAAUCCCCGGGCUCAACCCGGGAACUGCGUCCGAUACUGGCAGGCUUGAAUCCGGGAGAGGGAUGCGGAAUUCCAGGUGUAGCGGUGAAAUGCGUAGAUAUCAGGAGGAACACCGGUGGUGCAGACGGCUCUCUGGACCGCGACUGACGCUGAAACACGAAAGCGUGGGUAGCAAACAGG